GGCGAACGGGUGAGUAAUAUAUCGGAACGUGCCCAGUCGUGGGGGAUAACGUAGCGAAAGCUACGCUAAUACCGCAUACGAUCUAUGGAUGAAAGCGGGGGACUCGUAAGGGCCUCGCGCGAUUGGAGCGGCCGAUAUCAGAUUAGGUUGUUGGUGAGGUAAAAGCUCACCAAGCCUGCGAUCUGUAGCUGGUCUGAGAGGACGACCAGCCACACUGGAACUGAGACACGGUCCAGACUCCUACGGGAGGCAGCAGUGGGGAAUUUUGGACAAUGGACGCAAGUCUGAUCCAGCAAUGCCGCGUGCAGGACGAAGGCCUUCGGGUUGUAAACUGCUUUUGUACGGAACGAAACGGUCUGCUUUAAUACAGUGGGCUAAUGACGGUACCGUAAGAAUAAGCACCGGCUAACUACGUGCCAGCAGCCGCGGUAAUACGUAGGGUGCGAGCGUUAAUCGGAAUUACUGGGCGUAAAGCGUGCGCAGGCGGUUAUAUAAGACAGAUGUGAAAUCCCCGGGCUCAACCUGGGACCUGCAUUUGUGACUGUAUAGCUAGAGUACGGUAGAGGGGGAUGGAAUUCCGCGUGUAGCAGUGAAAUGCGUAGAUAUGCGGAGGAACACCGAUGGCGAAGGCAAUCCCCUG
rnacentral:rRNA from 1 species